GUAAGUGAAAUAACUGAUUUAGAGUUGUCUAAAAUCAUGAAACUAAGAAACCUUUUAACAAUUUAGAUAGUCUAAAUGUAAGAAACUAUGUAAAAGUUUUAUGAAAUUUAGAUAUUAUAUGGUUAUAUUUUGCAAGAAAUGAUAGCAAGAAGCAUUAUCGGAGAUAAUAAAUGAAAUGCUAAUAUUUUGUGAUUUUAAUUUCUGCUAUUUAAUAAUUUAUUACCCCAACUAUAAGUUGUAACUCUUCCAUUUAAGAGUGAUUUGAUAGACGGCUCCAGAAGACACGACUUC
rnacentral:lncRNA from 1 species